rnacentral:rRNA from 1 species
AUUGAACGCUGGCGGCAUGCCUUACACAUGCAAGUCGAACGGCAGCGGGGGAGAAGCUUGCUUUUCCUGCCGGCGAGUGGCGAACGGGUGAGUAGUACAUCGGCAGGUGCCCUGUAGGGGGGGGUAACACGUUGAAAGAUUAGCUAAUACCGCAUACGACCUGAGGGGCAAAGUGGGGGACCGCAAGGCCUCAUGCUAUAGGAGCGGCCGAUGUCUGAUGAGCUAGUUGGUGGGGUAAAGGCCUACCAAGGCGACGAUCAGUAGCUGGUCUGAGAGGACGAUCAGCCACACUGGGACUGAGACACGGCCCAGACUCCUAAGGGAGGCAGCAGUGGGGAAUUUCGGACAAUGGGCGAAAGCCUGAUCCAGCAAUGCCGCGUGUGUGAAGAAGGCCUUCGGGUUGUAAGGCACUUUUGUCCGGAAAGAAAUGGCUCUGGUUAAUACCUGGGGUCGAUGACGGUACCGGAAGAAUAAGGACCGGCUAACUACGUGCCAGCAGCCGCCGUAA